rnacentral:misc_RNA from 1 species
UCUCCGUAGGUGAACCUGCGGAGGGAUCAUUACUGAGUGAGGGCUUCGGUCCGACCUCCAACCCUUUGUGAACCAAACUUGUUGCUUCGGGGGCGACCCUGCCGCUUCGGCGGUGCGGCGCCCCCGGAGGCCAUUAAACACUGCAUCAUUGCGUCGGAGUUAAAGUAAAUUAAACAAAACUUUCAACAACGGACCUCUUGGUUCGGGCAUCAAUAAAGAACGCGGC